rnacentral:ncRNA from 1 species
GGUGCCGAAAGGCUUAAACCGGAAUCAGGUGGAAGACCUGAGCGAGACCGUCACCGUGAAUGACUGACAAGCCACCGCGCAGCAACCGCAGGCUGAAACCAUUGGGAAACCGAGAAGGGGCGGAUGGUAUGUGUGAAAACAGCAGUCAUGAGCCGGGAUACCUGCCCCAUCAU